GGUAGCGGUGACAGUACGUUGAAUACUAACAGUUCCAAUUGGAUCACUGAAAUUAAGCAACGUUGCGCGCGGUUGGUAUCUAGAUGGGUGACCAUCUGGACAAUGGCGUGCUUCUGGCU
rnacentral:rRNA from 1 species